rnacentral:tRNA from 1 species
GGUGAGGUGGGAGAGUGGCUGAAUCCAGCAGUUUGCUAAACUGCCGAACCGGUUUUCGGUUCCGCGAGUUCGAAUCUCGCCCUCACCG